AACGCGAAGAACCUUACCUGGGCUUGACAUCCAAAGAACCCUUACGAAAGUAGGGGGUGCCUUCGGGAGCUUUGAGACAGGUGGUGCAUGGUUGUCGUCAGCUCGUGUCGUGAGAUGUUGGGUUAAGUCCCGCAACGAGCGCAACCCUUGCCUUUAGUUGCCAGCAGUUCGGCUGGGCACUCUAAAGGGACUGCCGGUGUUAAANCCGGAGGAAGGUGGGGAUGACGUCAAGUCCUCAUGGCCUUUAUGANCCAGGGCUACACACGUACUACAAUGGCCGAUACAAAGGGCAGCGACACUGNCGAGGUGGAGCCAAUCCCAUAAAAUCGGUCUCAGUCCGGAUUGGAGUCUGCAACUCGACUCCAUGAAGUUGGAAUCGCUAGUAAUCGCGGAUCAGCAUGCCGCGGUGAAUACGUUCCCGGGUCUUGUACACACCG
rnacentral:rRNA from 1 species